rnacentral:lncRNA from 12 species
AGGAGCUCGGAGCUGUCAGCAGUUUGCAGAUGCACAGGCCGCAGGAGAUCUCAUUUCUCUUCCUAAAACGCUCGGCCUUCUCCAAAGCGCCUUCCCACGGCAUGUCCGGCCGUGCCCACAGGUGUGCCUUCUGUGCACGUUCCUGGACGUGCCUGGGCCUCCAGCGGUGUGAGAAGCCAGCAGGUGGUGGCGCUGGGGGACCUGCUCCGGGCCACAGCCCCCCCCCCGCGCUGGUGUGA